GUGCCCACUUCUUGUGAGCACUCCAGCAUAUAUACUAAAAUUGAAAUAAUGUAUAAUGGAAUAGCAUGGUCCCUGUGCAGGAAUGCCAUGCAAAUUCACAAAGCAUUCCAUAUUUUU
rnacentral:snRNA from 1 species